ACCUGGGUGGCUUAGUUGGUUGAGCUUCUGACUUCAGCUCAGGUUACGAUCUUGCAGUUGGUGAAUUCAAACCCUGGGUU
rnacentral:tRNA from 1 species